UACUGGUACUACCUACUCUCCUAUUACACAACAAACACCUCACCUGUGACCGCACCACCACAAAACAACGCUGCCAUGGAUUCUGAUUUCGGCAUUUCCAGCGAGCUUUCCGAGCUGCAAAAACUCCGAUCACUUUACCAACCAGAGCUCCCCCCUUGCCUUCAGGGAACUACUGUGAGGGUAGAAUUUGGCGAUGCUACUACAGCAGCAGACGUAGCCGAUUCCCACACCAUAAGCAGAUCCUUUCCCCGCACAUAUGGUCAGCCUUUGGCUCACUUUCUUAGGGCAACUGCUAA
rnacentral:misc_RNA from 1 species